GACGAACGCUGGCGGCAUGCCUAACACAUGCAAGUCGAACGAUCCCUUCGGGGAUAGUGGCGCACGGGUGCGUAACGCGUGGGAACCUGCCCUUAGGUUCGGAAUAACUCAGAGAAAUUUGAGCUAAUACCGGAUAAUGUCUUCGGACCAAAGAUUUAUCGCCUUUGGAUGGGCCCGCGUUGGAUUAGCUAGUUGGUGGGGUAAAGGCCUACCAAGGCGACGAUCCAUAGCUGGUCUGAGAGGAUGAUCAGCCACACUGGGACUGAGACACGGCCCAGACUCCUACGGGAGGCAGCAGUGGGGAAUAUUGGACAAUGGGCGAAAGCCUGAUCCAGCAAUGCCGCGUGAGUGAUGAAGGCCUUAGGGUUGUAAAGCUCUUUUACCCGGGAUGAUAAUGACAGUACCGGGAGAAUAAGCCCCGGCUAACUCCGUG
rnacentral:rRNA from 1 species